AGAGUUUGAUCCUGGCUCAAGAUGAACUCUUUCGGCAGGCUUAACACAUGCAAGUUGCGGGGCAGCACGUCUUCGGAUGGUGGCGACCGGCGCACGGGUGCGUAACGCGUAUGUAACCUACCCUUUACAGGGGAAUAGCCCGAGGAAACUCGGAUUAAUGCCCCAUAGUAUUAUUGAUUCGCAUGAAUUAAUACUUAAAGCUCCGGCGGUAAAGGAUGGACAUGCGUGACAUUAGCUUGUUGGUGAGGUAACGGCUCACCAAGGCAAUGAUGUCUAGGGGUCCUGAGAGGGUUCACCCCCACACUGGUACUGAGACACGGUCCAGACUCCUACGGGAGGCAGCAGUGGGGAAUAUUGCACAAUGGAGGGAACUCUGAUGCAGCGACGCCGCGUGAGUGAAGAAGGUCUUCGGAUCGUAAAACUCUGUCCUUGGUGAAGAAAAGGACGGUAGCCAAGGAGGAAGCCCCGGCUAACUACGUGCCAGCAGCCGCGGUAAUACGUAGGGGGCGAGCGUUGUCCGGAUUUACUGGGCGUAAAGGGUGAGUAGGCGGUAAUAUAUGUCAGGUGUAAAAGAUCAUGGCUUAACCAUGGUUAGCACUUGAAACUGUAUGACUUGAGUGCAGGAGAGGUAAGCGGAAUUCCUAGUGUAGCGGUGAAAUGCGUAGAUAUUAGGAGGAACACCAGUGGCGAAGGCGGCUUACUGGACUGUAACUGACGCUGAGUCACGAAAGCGUGGGUAGCAAACAGGAUUAGAUACCCUGGUAUUCCACGCUGUAAACGAUGAGUGCUAGGUGUUGGGUAGCGAUAUUCAGUGCCGUAGUAAACACAAUAAGCACUCCGCCUGGGGAGUACGUACGCAAGUAUAAAACUCAAAGGAAUUGACGGGGACCCGCACAAGCAGCGGAGCAUGUGGUUUAAUUCGAAGCAACGCGAAGAACCUUACCAAGGCUUGACAUCCCCUUGACAGAUACAGAGAUGUGUCCUCUCCUUCGGGAGCAAGGGAGACAGGUGGUGCAUGGUUGUCGUCAGCUCGUGUCGUGAGAUGUUGGGUUAAGUCCCGCAACGAGCGCAACCCUUAUCCUUAGUUGCCAUCAAGUUAAGUUGGGCACUCUAAGGAGACUGCCGGUGAUAAACCGGAGGAAGGUGGGGAUGACGUCAAAUCAUCAUGCCCCUUAUGUCUUGGGCUACACACGUGCUACAAUGGUCGGUACAACGGGGAGCGAAGGAGCGAUCCCAAGCAAAUCCCAAUAAACCGAUCCCAGUUCGGAUUGCAGGCUGCAACUCGCCUGCAUGAAGUCAGAGUUGCUAGUAAUCGCGAAUCAGAACGUCGCGGUGAAUGCGUUCCCGGGUCUUGCACACGCCGCCCGUCA
rnacentral:rRNA from 1 species